UAGGGAAUCUUCCACAAUGGACGAAAGUCUGAUGGAGCAACGCCGCGUGAGUGAAGAAGGUCUUCGGAUCGUAAAGCUCUGUUGUUGGUGAAGAAGGAUAGAGGCAGUAACUGGUCUUUAUUUGACGGUAAUCAACCAGAAAGUCACGGCUAACUACGCGCCAG
rnacentral:rRNA from 1 species